rnacentral:rRNA from 1 species
CUUAAGCAUAUCAAUAAGCGGAGGAAAAGAAACCAACAGGGAUUGCCUCAGUAACGGCGAGUGAAGCGGCAACAGCUCAAAUUUGAAAUCUGGCCUCGGCCCGAGUUGUAAUUUGUAGAGGAAGCUUUUGGUGCGGCACCGACCGAGUCCCCUGGAACGGGGCGCCAUAGAGGGUGAUAGCCCCGUAUGGUUGGACGCCUAUCCUCUGUAAAGCUCCUUCGACGAGUCGAGUAGUUUGGGAAUGCUGCUCUAAAUGGGAGGUAGAUUCCUUCUAAAGCUAAAUACCGGCCAGAGACCGAUAGCGCACAAGUAGAGUGAUCGAAAGAUGAAAAGCACUUUGAAAAGAGGGUUAAAUAGCACGUGAAAUUGUUGAAAGGGAAGCGCCUGUGACCAGACUUGCGCCCCGUCGAUCAUCCGGGGUUCUCCCCGGUGCGCUCGGCGGGGCUCAGGCCAGCAUCGGUUCUCGCGGGGGGACAAAGGCUCCGGGAACGUAGCUCCUCCGGGAGUGUUAUAGCCCGGGGCGUAAUGCCCUCGCGGGGACCGAGGACCGCGCUUCGGCAAGGAUGCUGGCGUAAUGGUCACCGGCGACCCGUCUUGAAACACGGACCAAGGAGUCAAGGUUUUGCGCGAGUGUCUGGGUGUAAAACCCGCACGCGUAAUGAAAGUGAACGUAGGUGAGAGCUUCGGCGCAUCAUCGACCGAUCCUGAUGUAUUCGGAUGGAUUUGAGUAGGAGCGUUAAGCCUUGGACCCGAAAGAUGGUGAACUAUGCUUGGAUAGGGUGAAGCCAGAGGAAACUCUGGUGGAGGCUCGCAGCGGUUCUGACGUGCAAAUCGAUCGUCAAAUCUGAGCAUGGGGGCGAAAGACUAAUCGAACCAUCUAGUAGCUGGUUACCGCCGAAG